CGUAAAGACGCAUGCAGGUGGUUUGUUUAAGUCAGAUGUGAAAGACCCGGGGCGUCAACCUACCGGAAGUUAGCAUUUGUAAACUAGGCAGACUAGAGUACUGUAGAGGGGGGUAGGAAUUUCUAGGUGUAGCGGUGAAAUAGCGUAGAGAUCUGAAGGAAUACCGGUGGCGAAGGCGGCCCCCUCGGACAGAUACUGACACUCAGAUGCGAAAGCGUGGGGAGCAAACAGGAUUAGAUACCCUGGUAG
rnacentral:rRNA from 1 species